UGGGAAAAUAUUUAUAAUUCAUACAAAAAGCAGUUUAAACAAUUUCAAAUAACAAACAUCACCUAGUCACACAUGCUAGCUCUACAAUCCUACAGUAUUGAUAGUUAUGAACAGAAAGCCCCAAUAAGAUAUUGCAAGUCUUGGGACAAUACAUAGAGAAAUACAUCUCCUGCAGGAGCACAUGCCUAGGCACAGGAGCACAUGACUAGGCAGCAAGAUGGCUUCAUGUCUUCAAACUCCAUUGUCUUCAGAAGGUGCCUUUAGAGCUUCAAUUAGCUGGUGCUUUUUCUUGAUGUCCAAUGACUCAAGAUGCACCAGUUAGUAGGUCCCCUCUACCCUUGGUAUUAGAGCUUCAAACAUCAAGCACCAUCUUCUCUACUGAUCCAGAUAUUUAAUAUGGCAUAGUUGCUCCCAAUCCCAAUUCUAGUGCUGCAGAUAUCUGUACCAAGAGAUCAUUGACUUAACCCCCCUUUGAUUUUAGGUAAAAAAGGCCACAUAUAAUUAUGUCCAAAGCAUUAAUAGAUGGAAUAUGUGUAAAAUAGAAAAACAAAGAAACUAAAGGAGCUCCAAAAAGAAUAUUGGUAUAGAAAGAUGCGACACAAAAGAAAAGGUAAAACAUAUGUAGUAUUUACCCAACCAUUCAUCAAGACUUU
rnacentral:lncRNA from 1 species